GCGUGGCUCCCGGAGCUAACGCGUUAAGUCGACCGCCUGGGGAGUACGGCCGCAAGGUUAAAACUCAAAUGAAUUGACGGGGGCCCGCACAGCGGUGGAGCAUGUGGUUUAAUUCGAUGCAACGCGAAGAACCUUACCUGGCCUUGACAUCCAGAGAACUUAGCAGAGAUGCUUUGGUGCCUUCGGGAACUCUGAGACAGGUGCUGCAUGGCUGUCGUCAGCUCGUGUUGUGAAAUGUUGGGUUAAGUCCCGCAACGAGCGCAACCCUUAUCCUUUGUUGCCAGCGGUUCGGCCGGGAACUCAAAGGAGACUGCCGGUGAUAAACCGGAGGAAGGUGGGGAUGACGUCAAGUCAUCAUGGCCCUUACGGCCAGGGCUACACACGUGCUACAAUGGCGCAUACAAAGAGAAGCGACCUCGCGAGAGCAAGCGGACCUCAUAAAGUGCGUCGUAGUCCGGAUUGGAGUCUGCAACUCGACUCCAUGAAGUCGGAAUCGCUAGUAAUCGUAGAUCAGAAUGCUACGGUGAAUACGUUCCCGGGCCUUGUACACACCGCCCGUCACACCAUGGGAGUGGGUUGCAAAAGAAGUAGGUAGCUUAACCUCCGGGAGGGCGCUUACCACUUUGUGAUUCAUGACUGGGGUGAAGUCGUAACAAGGUAACCAAGGGCGAAUUCCAG
rnacentral:rRNA from 1 species